UGAGACAACGUACAAACCUUAUCGAUAAACAAUUGGAGGGCAAGUCUGGUGCCAGCAGCCGCGGUAAUUCCAGCUCCAAUAGCGUAUAUUAACGUUGUUGCAGUUAAAAAGCUCGUAGUUGAAAUGAAGGGUAGUUGUGUAAUGAAUACAUUCGUGUAUUUUGUUAUUCUACUACCCUCCUUCUAAAUUCGAUAUAUGAGUAUUAAUUUACUUGUAUAUGGUUUUAGACGUUUACUGUGAGAAAAUUAGAGUGUUCAAAGCAGGCAUUUGCUUGAAUAUAUUAGCAUGGAAUAAUCAUGUAUGAUUUUCAUGAUGUAUUUGAUUGGUUUGGUUCAUGAGAAUAAGAUUAAAAGGGACAGUUGGGGGUAUUCAUAUUCAAUAGUCAGAGGUGAAAUUCUCGGAUUUAUGGAAGAUGAACAAG
rnacentral:rRNA from 1 species